UUGGCAAGGCAGCGAGGCGCCUCUGCCGAAAGCAGGUGCGGUGUCCCGCAGUUGAGCCGGGCCGUGCGAGAGCCGCCGCAGCUCCUCGCACCUAGUGCCACUUGUCGCGUUCCGCUGCUCCUCCUCCGCCUCUGUUCGUCUCGGCCAGGAUGCAUCCGCUCGCCGCAGACCACAGGGAAAACCGCACCUGGGAUCCCGCUUCUCGGCAUCAUGGGAAUGGAAUAACGCGUGUCGAAAGCAAACGUUACUGGAAUUAUUGCACCUUAAAGCAUAGGUUGGCUUAGGUGACUGCUUGGCGGUAUAUAGAAGGAGAGAAAAUAGGGAGCCUGCAGUUUGCACACAUUUCCAAAAACCUGGAGUGGCACAAGGGAACUGGACCAAAGACUAGCACCAAGAUAAAAUUUCCAUUCUUUCUGACUCUAUCCAGGUUAGAUGUCUUGACCUCUUAAGAAUUAAAUUGUUAAUUUGUAUAAUGUA